UCAUCAAGGGUUAGUACGUAAUGGUAAUUAAUAACACAUCCUAGACGAAGAAUCCAUCAAGGUCACAACUCACAAACAGUUUUCUGAAAGAGAAAUGAAUAAAUGAAAAAGAAGAUUCCUGCUUCACACAGCAUCAGCCAUCACCACCUAUAUACUUGGAGAAAUUCAUGUGAUGCACAAUUGGUGCCGAAUCCAUAUGGUCCAUUC